rnacentral:tRNA from 1 species
GGUGUCAUAGCUCAGUUGGAUAGAGCAAGCGUUUCCUAAACGCUAGGUCGGGGGUUCGAGACCCUUUGGCACCGCUA